rnacentral:misc_RNA from 1 species
GUGGGUCUCUUAAAUAUAGAUGGGUAUUAUGAUAGCUUGCUUGGAUUGUUUGACAAAGGUGUAGAAGAUGGAUUCAUCAAUCCUUGCGCGAGGAACAUUGUCAUUUCUGCAAAGAAUGCUGGGGAAUUAAUCCAAAGGAUGGAGGUACUAAUUUUUCACUUUAGUCUCAUAAUGCUUUUUCAUUGAUUUUUUUUUAAAAUAAUUAUGUAAAUAAUGACAGACACAUCUUUUGUCAAAACCAUAACAGUUUUAUCAAAGCAUGUUUAAGUCUUAUAUCCCACACACAAACGUUGUCCACAAACGAUAUGAAAUUCCAAAGUAGCAAUGCCAUUUUUUUUAUUGAUUAAGCUCCUAUUGAAGUUAAAACUUGGCGUCAUAUGCCAAUUUUCUUAUAUCAACUCCUCUUUUGAAUCUGUUGCAGGCUUAUGUGCUUCGACACGAUGAAGUAGCACCAAGUAGUCAUUGCUGGAUAAUAGAGAAAGCAAUGCAAAUCUGUAGCUGUUUUCUCUCUUGAUAUAUUUGUAUGGUGUGUGCAAGCCAAAAAAGGGUGAAAAUACACAACAUUCUAUGUAGUAAAUAGGCAUUAAUGCUAUUUAUGGAAGCAAACUUUGUUAAUGGGAGCCAUAUUCUGAUUUCACACGGUAGGUGCAUUGAUAGUUGGUGUGUGAACUAACUGCGUCUGCAAAUGGUGAUCUUGAUUGAGCCUUGAUAGCAGAGGAAAUCCUUCCAAUAAUAUCCACAUCUUAAUCAAGCUCAAAAAGUUAAAAAAGGAAAAUGUUUUCGUUUCUUUUCUAUUCAAAAACAACUCCAGCUUGAACGUCAUUGAUAUGUCUGGCACACAGAUUUUAAUGCACCUUGUCAGCAUGUAUUGACCCCAUCCUUGCAGUCACUGGUCAAAUUAUAAAAUGUUUCCACACGUGUCUUUGCCCUGUAAAGAACUUCAGUGUCCACUGCAACUCUCAUGUAUCCAUCAAACUCAACUGGCCAUCCAUGAUUUAAAACCGUUGUCUCAUUGUACCAAUCACUCGUAUUUCCCCACAAUGCCUUGUAAUCAUCAAGCAAAUGAACCUUAAAGUGAGAUCUUAAUUUAUCAAAGUAGUUGUAGAAUGGCUCAUUGGUUGCAAUAUACAGAUUCCUCCAAGGUUGAAUAAUCCCUUGAAGCUUUGCAACGAGUGCGUCGGGAGAAGUAUCAGCAUCCAAAUGAGGCCAAAGUUCCUUAUUUUGUGCCUUCUCUCCUCGAACCACAUGAACUGCAUCAAAAUCCCAGUCCAUUUGCCCACUGAUCUCUGUAACUAUAUUCAUCAAUCUCUUUGAUUUCCAAAGUGCAUGCCAUGGCCUCUGAAUGUACUUUGCUGAUUGUCCUUCACACACUCUGUACCAAUAAUUUUCUGGCUCGGGAGCAUCAAACUGCCUCCAUAUAAUUGUGCUCUUAUCUUUCUUCAGUUGCACUGGCAUCACCUUAUGGGUCACAACCUUCCUGACUGGUACUUUCUUCUUAUGGGCACGAUCCCAUUUCUUCCAAUCUCUCAAAAACUCACUCUCUUCUACAAUUGAUGCCACCUCCUUAAGAUGUUCAAAAUCAAAAUAAUACCGAAAAUCCUUCCCCUCCUCAUCCUUACCACUUGGAUUAUAACUACCUGCCAAGCAUAUGCUCAAAUCCAUCACAAAUGUCCUGUUCAAAUACAUAGCCUCCCCUAAUCCACACAAGAAACUCCACAUGUAAUGGUUCAUUCCCUUACAAUAAUCCCCUCCUCUUGAGUAAUACAAGUACCUCCCUUUCCUAAAAUUCAUUUCAGAUCCCAAAGUUGGGAUUGUGUCGUUUAUCUCCUCAUCACGAACUGAUGGUGCAAUUUUUGGACUUUUUCCAUCACUCUUAGUAGCAUUAACUUUAAUCCUUUGCCUCCUUGCAUUAAUGCCUGAAUGCCAACCACUUGCGUGCACAAUUUUAUAAGUACAGUUUUCCCCAUUUCCAAACUUAAACCUCCUAAAGUCCCUAUACUUUCUCCAUGAUUUUUCUUUCUUGUUUCUAAACCUCCAUGCCACAUCACACUCAUCUGGCUUUGACCCAUUAACAGGAGUUUGAUAUUCCAAAAACACUAUAGACUUGAACCAUUUCAAAUUAAACUUCUCAACUGUUAUCAGAACCCUCGGGUCUGAGCAAUUCACAAUCUGCAAAUUCUCACAACCAGAUGACUUGAGGGUCAUGUUGGUGACCUUCUCCUCAGAUUUCUCAAUCACUUGCUCAGUGAUUGGUUCAAUCGCUAAAGCAGGUGGUACAGCAGGGGCUGACACAGUUUGUAAAUCCUCACCAGUUUUGAGGAUAGAAUUGUCAUUUUUGAAGGUGGCAUUUUCACUCUGAGUAAAGAGUUUAGUAAGGGCAGGAGCUGAUUCCAGCCAUGGAUCUGGAGGUUGGUAAGUGAUAGCAAUAACUGUGAAUAUCAAAACCGAGAAUACGAAAACUGAGAAACAUAGGUUGCUUAUUAGCUUUAUCAGGUUUUGCCCUAUAGGCUCAGUGGCUGGGUUAGUCUCUUUCAUGGAUUCUUUCUUUUGUUUAACCUUUAAGAACCAAAUUCUGAAAUCCACCCAGAUCUUGAAUUCAAUCUAGAAAACAAAUAGAACCCAACACAGGUUUACUUAUACAAAAUUCAUUCAUGGGUACUUUUCAUUUCUUCAAGAGCCAAUGCUGAAAUCUUGAAAUGAGCCAAGAAACUAGAGUAAAAUCUAGGAAAAGAAAGAGAAAGGACAAGAAUUUAACUUACUCGGAAUUGAAAUGAAGCUGUAGAUAGAUGAGAUCUAAUGGAAUUGAGCAGAAUUUGAAGAGAGACUCUAAUGUUAACGCGCAGAGACGAUGGAAUGGAAUGGAAUGGCUUUGGGUAGAAGUGAAGCAAAAGGCACGUUAAAAAAAAUUGUCUCAACUGGAAGUGAAGAAGGGUG